UGUUGGUUAUAACCCCUUGGCAGUAGCUAUCUCUCGACUUAAUUCGGACUUCCUCUCUCUUGGGAUGAGAUUCAUUCGCUUGACAAUCUAUAUGUGGGAUUUAAUUCGCGACGAGAACGCAAGUAAUCUCGUCGCGGAAUUUGAAUGAGGGCCUUACUGGACCGGUGAAUAGUUUGAUAACAGUUCCCCUCUAGAUAGAUGAAGGGGAAAGGAGGGACAAGAUCAUUCGCCGUCGGUUGGCGGACUAUUCAGUGCCGCGACCGACACUGAUUUCAAUUGGUAAAUUGACU
rnacentral:lncRNA from 1 species